rnacentral:rRNA from 1 species
AUUGAACGCUGGCGGCAGGCCUAACACAUGCAAGUCGAGCGGAUGAAGGGAGCUUGCUCCUGGAUUCAGCGGCGGACGGGUGAGUAAUGCCUAUGAAUCUGCCUGGUAGUGGGGGAUAACGUCCGGAAACGGGCGCUAAUACCGCAUACGUCCUGUGGGAGAAAGUGGGGGAUCUUCGGACCUCACGCUAUCAGAUGAGCCUAGGUCGGAUUAGCUAGUUGGUGGGGUAAAGGCCUACCAAGGCGACGAUCCGUAACUGGUCUGAGAGGAUGAUCAGUCACACUGGAACUGAGACACGGUCCAGACUCCGACGGGAGGACACAGUGGGGAAUAUUGGACGAUGGGCGAGUGCCUGAUCCAGCCAUGCCGCGUGUGUGAAGAAGGUCUUCGGAUUGUAAAGCAAUGAAAGUUGGGAGGAAGGGCAGUAAGUUAAUACCUUGCUGUUUUGACGUUACCAACAGAAUAAGCACCGGCUAACUUCGUG